CCCAGGUCAGGCGGGA
rnacentral:rRNA from 1 species